rnacentral:rRNA from 1 species
AUUGAACGCUGGCGGCAGGCCUAACACAUGCAAGUCGAGCGAGCGGCGGACGGGUGAGUAAUGUCUGGGAAACUGCCUGAUGGAGGGGGAUAACUACUUGAAACGGUAGCUAAUACCGCAUACCAUCAGAUGUGCCCAGGUGGGAUUAGCUCGUAGGUGUGGUAACGGCUCACCUGGGCGACGAUCCCUCGCGGGUCUGAGAGGAUGACCAGGCACCCUGGAACUGAGACACGGUCCAGACUCCCACGGGAGGAAGCAGUGGGGAAUAGUGAACAAUGUGAGCAAUCCUGAUGCAGCCAUGCCGCGUGGGUGAAGAAGGCCUUCGGGUUGUAAAGCACUUUCAGCGGGGAGGCGUUACCCGCAGAAGAAGCACCGGCUAACUCCGUGCCAGCAGCCGCGGUAAUUC